GGGAGGCGGGGCGCGCGGGAACUGCGUGCGUUGGCUCUGUGCGGCCCGCACGCGGCGUCAUGGCGCGCCUGCUCCGGGCGUUCUGGGCCUUGCCCUUCCGAGAAGUAGCCCGGCGGACCGGAGCGGGCCUAGCGGGCAGCGGCGGCGCCGGCACGGGGGCAGGUCACGUGAACGCAGCCUUUCAGUGGGAUCUACCUGAAUAACAAGGAAUCAGGAAUGUAUCACUGCGUGUGCUGGGACAACCCACUCUUCAGGGACUUUUGAGUUGGUUUCUGUUCCAUUUUCCUGCUGCUGCUGCUGAAUGAUUGAAACUGGAAGAAAUACGAAUAUGUUUAAAAGGCUCUUUUAUGCUCCAGAAUAUACUUUUCUUAAAGAUGUAUUUGUCUAUAGGAGAGGUAGGAUACUGAAGUGGCUAGGGGUCUGCUCCCCUGCUGUGUGACCUUGGGCAUGUCUCUGAACCAGUCUGUGGCUUGAUUUCCUCACCUGUAACGUGCUAGCACGAUAGUUGACUUCAUAAGGUUGUUGAGAGGAUUAACUGAGUCGUGAGGUAAUGCACGCAAAAGCACCAGCGCAGUGCCCGGCGUGUGCCCAGCAAGUACUCAGUACUCGUUGGCAAUGACCGUCCUCAGAGACAGAUCCUUCUUAAGGCUGCAUAUGGAGAUAAGCCUUUGAGAAUGAGGAAUUCUUGUGAAUAUAGUCUCAUUAAUGAGAAUCUAUCAAUGAAGCUUAUAUUCCUGAGCAUGCUUCCCAUUCAAGAGCUUGGUCUUAGGAAAAUAUUCUUGUUUUGCCUCUCUCUCUAGUCUCCAGCCUUCAUAGUAGCAAGCAGGGGUGGAGAAAAAAAGUAAACAUUCCUCCAAAUGCUUGCAUAGGGUCAAAAUGAGGGGCAAAGUUGGUGAGCCAAGAAAGAGUCAAGUGGAUGCGGGACCACUGCCUCUUGGCAGAAUUGGCUUCACACAGAACCAAUAUGGUGCCUGUUCCGGGAGACAUGCCUCCUGUCCAAAUCAGAGGCCUUUAAUCCAAGGUUUCCAGGUCCAGAACACUCUUAGGAUGUUAUCACCCCUCUGGGGGCUCCAGACUGUUGCUUCAUUUGCCACCACUUCCCUGCUUCCUCUGUUCCCCUUCUUUCUCCUUCCCCCCCCAUGUACCCAUUCUGGAAGUGUUUAUUAAAAUCUGUGGGAUCACAUGUUUGGUGCUCCUACAUCCUUCUCAGAAUAGAAGGAAACUGAAAGCCUAAUAUUACUUUCCUUCUUACCUAACAUCAGGAUGUCCUGCAUGUUACAAGUAACUAAGUAACAUUGGUUAAAAACCUUUUUUGUGUUCCGGUUCCUCCGAAUGAAUGGAAAUUCUUCUAAGAUUUUAGAGUUGUCAGUUAUCACCAGGUGCUUCGGCUGUAGUUUGGGGGCUGUGGAAUUUCCGGAAAUGAAGAAAAACCAAAGCAAAUAAACACGUAACAAACACACAAACACACAGCAAAAAAACAAAACCAAAGAAACACCUCUAAGAGUGUAUGAAAAGAGAUGAUCCAGAGUGGUUUUAGUUUCCCAAGGUAGAGUCUUAUAAUCUGGUAAUCAUUUAAAUAUGUUUAUUUUAAUUUCUUUUUUUUUAUUUAAAAAAUUUUAAUGUAUAUUUAUUAUUUGUUUAUUUGACAGUCUCGCGUGCGAUGAGCAGGGGAGGGGCAGAGAGGGAGAUGGAGAAUCCACAGUGGGCCCUGGCACUCUCAGCGCAAAGCUCAAAGUGGGGCUCGAACCCAUGAGCCAUGAGCUCAUGACCUGAGCUAAAGUCAGAUGCUCAACCGACUGAGCCAUCCAGGAGCUCCCAUAUAUAUUGGAAUUUCUAAUUGACCUUAAUAUUUAGGUUUCCAUUCUGAAAUUCUAUAUGAUGGACCUCUCAUUAUUACCUGGUAAAAUCUGCAGAUUCCGUUAAUUGCAUCAAUAAAGAUUUAUUGUUUCCCAUAAACAUUUUAAAUGACUUUUUAUUAGUCUUUAGAUUAAUUCAUUAAAAAAAUGUAUUACAUUCGUAAUUCUCCAUCAAAAUGCCUUUAAUGAUCACUGGUUUACGUUAAGGGUGGAAAGGCUGUGACUAAAACAUACUCAAAAUGUUUUUCCCUGGGCCAGGGUGCCUCGGAUGAAUAGUUUUGAGCCCUUUGGAAAGGGUUGCAAAAAAAAGACCUAUGGCUGCUCAGAUUUCAUGGAUAUCUGUUAUUAAUAAUAGUAAUGAUUUUUAAAAAUAAUGGCUACCGAUCCAUGUACCGUUUAUCCAACACUAUGCUAAAUACACUGUACCUAUAGGGAAACUAUUUCAGGUAAUCUUGUCAGCAACCUUGUGAGGCAAUAAUGCCUUUACUGUUCUAUCCAUUAGGGCACUGAGGCUUUAAAAGACUAAAUAACUUGCCAAGGUCACAGAUAUAGCAGAGCCUGGCUCCACGCCCACACCUGUCAGAAGUCAGGGCCCUUACUCCUCAGAGUUCUCAAAGGCUGGUCUGAGGAUCCUGGGAGUUUCUGGGACCGUUUUAGGGGCCCUACAAGGCCCUCCCUCUCUUUCGUUACUGCAUAUCCAUGAGGCCACAUCCUCUUCUGUACCUCAAUCAAAAUAGCAGUGCAGCAGAUUGAAUCCAGAGGCACAUACGAAGGGUCAAUGGUCUUUUUCCUUUUUCUAAGCUAGAUGUUAAAGCGAUGCGCAGAAUUGUAAAACAGUGCAUCUCUUCUCACUAAGUGUUUGUUUCAUUUUGGAAAAUAUAAUCCGCUGUCAGAAAAGUAGGUUAUUUAUGGGACCAGGUAAUGAAUUCGUUAUUUUUAAAAAUAACUUCAUGGAUGAUUAUUUACAACUUGUCAGUUACAAUUUCUAAUUUGUUAAACAUCGGUAUCCGUAAUUCCCGUAAACAAAAGCUCUCAGAGCUCCUCAGUGAUUUAAUAGAGAGCAGUCCUGAGAUGGGAGUGUUUGAGGAUGACCGCCUCAAACCUGACUCUUACUGCUGCGGCUUGUGCUCUCCCCCAAGCUUCCUUCUGCGUUCAUAGUCUAGGGAGUUGGUUAUUUGCCAUUUUUCCUUCUCUUUACUCAGGUUUUUUGGUUUUUGGCUCUUGGUUUGUCUGUUCGUUUGUUUGUUUUGCAGAGUUUAUAGUGCAUUUCUUCUCCCUCUUCCUUAGAGAGCCCUUCCCCUGCCAUUGCAGAUUUUCCACUCGGGUUCCCUAGUGCCCUUUGAGGGAGCUCACCGGGGGUCCCUGGCGCGUGGAUUUGCGUGUUUCCCUCUCACUGCUCUGGUCGGCCCCUCUGGGCCUCUCCCACCUCGGCGCCAUUCGUUCCCAUGGGACGUGUCCAGGAGGGUCACGGCGCCGCAGCGACUGUUCACAGCGAACCUUCACGAGCACUUACCCCCGCCCCCCAGCCCCCGCACAGUAUCUCCUUCAAUCCUCAAAACGUCUCCAUAACGUAGGUGUUAUUCUCCCCAUGCUACAGAUGGGGCCCGGAGAGGUUACAUAGCCUGCCCAGUGUCACACAGCUGCGAAAUGGCAGAGGCAGUCAGGCUUCUGUGUCCGGGUAACCGGAAGGUCCUGCUGCUGAAAAUGCAUUUCAUCAGGUCUCCCCCUGCUGGGCCCAGACUGUGACGCCCUCCAUGGACCACUGUUCUUUCAUUUACGUUUCCCCCUUUUCCACAUUUAGACCACUUGGAUUGGAUCUGUGUUUCCUAAUGGGCAUCACAGUUCACAAAGCCUCUAGUGUUUUUCGGUCCCUGUCGGACAUCGGAGGGGAGCCAGCAGCAUCCCAGGAACAAGAGAUCCUUUCAGGGGGACAGGACAACGUGUUCAAUAGUGAUAGUGCAGCGGGCAGGGUUCCUGCGGAACUCUGAUUGUUCACCUAACUGGCCUGGAGGUCUGGCAGAGGAGGGAGGGGAUCAGAAAAAUGAUUUGGGGCAUCAAAUGCUCUUCGUGUGUUCAUAACAAUCUCAGCAGCUGCCACGUGGCGAGUGUCUUCCACAGUUCCGAGAAAAAGUACUGCUCCGGCACCGGACGGCCUUCGUUUUCUGAGGCUCACGGGACGUCUGGUUCCGAUGAAAGGGACGCAGGGAUCCUGAGAGGCGUGGACACCUCGUUAGGAUUAACUCGCACCAAGGUUGUCUGCAAGCAGGUGGGGCUUUUUUGUUUUGUCUCUUUGGUUUUCCCCGAUGCUGCAAAGAGCGUAGCUGGUGUUAUGACGCGGGAGUAUUUUCGUACUUUUCUACACUUUUGCUACUUCAGAUCCUUCUCCCAUCAUUCUGGGCACUGCAGGGAAGAAAAAGAACCUUCCUGAGCCACUCUCUGACGUAGCCGUUCCUGGUUGUGGCCUUCCAGAGAUGGGGCAGAGGGAGGGAGAGAGAGAGAGACAGAGACAGAGUGAGCAGAGGAGGGGCAGAGAGAGAGGGGGAGAGAGAGAGAAUCCCCAGCAGGCUCCGUGCUGCCAGCACAGAGCCCGACACGGGACUUGAACUCAUGGGCCAUGAGAUCAUGACCUGAGCCAAAGUCAAGAAUCGGACCCUUAACUGCCUGAGCCACCCAGGCGCCCCUGUCUUCUUUCAUUUCUUAAUCAAAUUCUGAUGUGAUAGGCUUCCCUCCCCCCAUACAAAUGUCAGACACCAGAGUGGGGUGGCCAUGCGGGGUGCGGCCAUGUGGGGCUCACCUGUCUAGUUUCGGAGCCCGUCUUGGCCACGUGCUUCCUGAUGGACGUGGGCCUAGUGGGCAGAGGUUUUGCAUCAACAGUGUGGCACUGAAGUUCAAACCAAGGAAAUACUGGCUGUCUCCAGGGGUCCCUUCCCCUCGCCACUGCUUCAUUUACACCCUCAGUUGUCACCGCUCAUAUGAAUGAUGUGUUCUAUUGGCUACCAAGCUAGGCCAGAUGUGCUGCUGGCACCAGGCAAGUCACAACCUCUGGGAUGUAUUUACCUGGACUCAGCCCAACCCUGACUCCAGCUUGGACUGGAAUUUCACGCGGUGACAGAAGGGCAGCCAUUUCCAUCGAAUUGACUUCUGUAGGCUUUGCCCGGGACCAGAGGGUGUGACUCUUGGGGGACAUUAAGAAGCUGAUGGACCACGAGCCAAAAAACUCCUACAAAACUACCCUGACCUUACCACUGCAGUGAAGCACUUCGUGGACCUAUACAGAUGUUGAAGGGGUACUUGCUGUCCGCUGGGCUCUUUUCUAGUUACCCGAGACAUGGCAGUCAACAACACAGAUGAAGUCUCUGAGCUCCUGCCCUCAUUUGGAGCUUCCGUAGAGGUAGAGGAGGUGAGGGAAGAGCAUUCGGGCAGAGAGGACCACACACCGCACAGUUUAUGUGGAGGGAGUGCCCUUCACGAACAGCGAGGGGACCAGUGGGGCUCAUUACGAGCGAAGGAAGAAAAGAAUUCUCUACAGUGACCCAUCUUGUUUCUUCUGACAUGAUGAGUUAAAUGGAGGCUGAUCAAAGGAUCCCAGUGGUUGGGUUGGCUGUAAUCGGACUUAGGAAAGGACGGAGCGGACACGUGUCACAUCGCCACCAGCGUGCACAUCCCGUCCUGAAUCGUGCCAUCAGGCUCAGCUCAAAAGGUGAGUCGAGAACGGGCCCCGGCAAGCACCCCCGCGACUUGCAAAGGUGUAAAUCCCAGCCCGAAGGCUGGCUGAUGACCCGACGGGUGUUCUCCCUGUGGCCACGGGCGUGCUGGACCCACCAUUGGUCUGAGGGGUGUCAGAGGCCUGUUCCUCACAGAUUUGUUAAAUCAUCACGUUGUACACCUGAAAUGCAUAUAACGUGUAUAUUAACUAUACUUGGAUUAAAAAAAGAAAGCAAGCCCGUCCUCAGGAAUAGCCCAAGGAUGUUUCUCCAAGGUUAUCUGUCAUGGUUUGAUCCCGGCAUAAGCCGCACACAGCACUCUCCAUCCCCCCGGGGCAAGGGUGAUUUGAACACAUCACAUUACCAGUGACCUUGAGAGUCCCAGGUCUACUGAACUCCUGGCAUUGUAGGGUGGCCUGAGAGGGGCCACUGGGGCCGGAGGACUCCAGGAAAAGGCCGUUUUCUCAAGACGCCAGCAAGUGAGGAAUUCUUCAAAGAAGGGGCUGUCGGCAGGCUCGCCUCUGCCCAACUUCCUCUCCUCACACUCUCUGACUUUCUCCCACCUUAGGACGCACUAACUGAGGGUCCCCCGAGUCUGGCUCUGGGGAGCAGGGGUGGGAGGACGGCCUACGCGGCCGGCUGAGAAGCUUCUGGUCGUUUCCUCUGCACAGGGGGCACCCGUGGGGCUGCCUCCCGUCUGUGUAAGGGAGGGAGGUUUGUGUCCGCGAAGUCACCCACGACGAGGUCCUGGGGUGUUCCCACGGACGGGAUGCCCUCCUCCCCGAGAGUCAUGAACAAAAGAGCACUUCCUGUUACAUUUAGAUGCCGAUUAUCAGGGAGGGGGUAGUGAUUGAUGAGAUGAGGGUGCAGGGAACGUUCUGUCCAUCGUAGGAGUAUUUGGCUGCUUGGUAACUGUUUACAGCCUGUUUCCUCCUAGUGCGCACCCCCCGAAAUCAUUUUCUUUGUAAAUGUUAAAAGCCAUGUGAAAAAAACCCAACAACCUUGAUGAGUCCUCUUUGUACUUCCAUCAGCAACAUGGCAGCCUCUGAAUAAACUGUGAUUUCCUUCACCGUGCCUGUUGAGAAUGUUUAGGCCACAUUUAGGAAAAACAACAACGACGACACCUGGGUAGGGGUCUCAAGAACAAUUAGCAAUUAAAAUAAUCUAUGUUCUACACUUCCGUAACAACACGGCCGCUUGACUGAUUUCCGUCUCAGGCACAGCCUCGCUCGGGAGCACCGUCCUCCCCAGUUCGGAGCCGUCGGAAUCACCCCGGAGGCAUCUUGGGUGUUGUGAGGCGUCUCUCUGUGUUCGAGAAUCUAUUAUAAUGCGCAUCAUUCACUUUAGAACCGAACUCGAUGCCUUUUCCAGAGAAUAGGCUUCUAGGGGCCACCGGUCCUCCCCUCAAGUCUCCACUGCUCGGGACUAAGGAAAGUGCCUGGCCCGGGGCAGGUGCACCUGUGCUGUCUGUUACCCCUCCCCCCAGCCGCCCGGACCCCAGCCACAGCCUGGGCUUUCCCUAAAGAUACUCCUCUGUGGGGGUUAUUCCCGGAGUCACCGACCCCCAGCACCAUAAAAUGCCACAGAGAGAAGAGAAUGAAAAGUCACUGGGUCCAACCCCUGUGGAUUUUACAGGUAAACAAACUGAACCCCGGAGAGACUUAGCUAGCUAGUGGCGGCCGUGACACCCAAGGUUCCUGAACCUCAGCCCACUUUCUCCCCUGGGUGGUCUUCAUGGGCAGAAACUGGAUUCGGUGGUCUCUGUCUUGGAAAAGCAAGAUGUCAACUUCACCUCAGGCAUUCUUUGCUAACUUUGCCUUGAGGCGUUCCCAAGGCCACGGUCAGGCCCAAGAGCCUGAGAGCUCCAGAAAACAUGGCAGCGCUCCAAAUAAGGGGGUGGCCAUCCUACAGCGCCUCGUUUCCCCUUCUCGAACCUCCCCGGAGACCAGACACGGAGGCCUGCAGCAGGGCUAGGACUUCUAUGAGGCGGGAAAGGCAGCUCACUGGUCAGGGGGCACUCGCCCUCAGACCCUAGGGGCGGCGGAUGCUAAGAUCAUUCCGAGAUCGGAACAACGACCACAUGGACAGAGCUGCUCCCUGGGGCCUCCUCCCCAAGGUCAGAGACCCUGGGACGAUCCAUAGGCAGGGCUGGGAGGAGCCACCUAAGGGUCCCCUGUUGCCAAGACACAUUGAGGGAUGGUCACCACAUGACCCUCUACAAAAUGUCCUCAGUGGGCUGGGGUCUUCAGUUCAGCAACGCUUCCAGAAUGUCCGGGCUGAGCGUCACAGUGCUUUGCCACGGACAGCAAGCCCCCGGAGCCCGGGGAACCCCCCCCACCAACCGCCACUGAUCAGUGUGCACUUAACAAAAAUGCUCGGGCUCAUUCUAAACACAGGUUGAUAGUUUAGGAUGCAGAAUAACCGAUCGAUGAAAGUGAUAGUAAAACAUAAAGCAGUAAAUAGUAAAAAAAAAAAAAUCAA